AGAGUCUCUCUUCCUCGUUCAAUGAACAGCGUUACGCAGGUCGGCGAUUAUUUCAGCAAAACAAAACAUAAGCGACUCCGAAGUCCAUGACAGAGAGAAAAAAAGAAAGAGAGAGAGAGAGAGAGGGAUCUUACGUUGAAGAUGAGACUUUUGUUGGUGGCUUCCCAAGCCAAGCCGCCCAUGAAGUAGAUGCACCACACCAGCACCAGCACCGCACCUGCGAUUCCCAGCAGCUGCGUCACCACCGCGAACGGCGUCGCUUUGAGCCCUAUCAGUGCCAUCUCUCUCUCUCUCUCUCUCUCUCUCUCUCUCUCUCU